UACGUAGGGGGCAAGCGUUGUCCGGAUUUACUGGGCGUAAAGAGCGUGUAGGCGGCCAAGCAGGUCCGUUGUGAAAACUGGAGGCUUAACCUCCAGACGUCGAUGGAAACCGUCUGGCUAGAGUCCGGAAGAGGAGUGUGGAAUUCCUGGUGUAGCGGUGAAAUGCGCAGAUAUCAGGAAGAACACCUAUGGCGAAGGCAGCACUCUGGGACGGUACUGACGCUGAGACGCGAAAGCGUGGGGAGCGAACAGG
rnacentral:rRNA from 1 species